rnacentral:lncRNA from 1 species
UAGACCAAAAAUUGUGAAAAUUUUAUGGUGGAAAGAUAUAUGAGCCUAGUUUCCAAGAAAAUUUAUAGAUCUUAAUUUGGAGUUCUGUAGCUUCAGAUAUAAAUGAUUUAGUGACUAUGACUUAAGAAAACAACUUAACCAGAACAUGUGUAAAUGUACAAUUGGGAUAGUUUUACUAUGGAAAGCGUGUUAGUAAAUUGCUUAUUAUUUUCAUGCGAGCUUACAAAGCAUAAAGUUUACCCCCUCCUUUCUAUUUCUUUUAGUGUUGUCAGGUUAACUCCGGGCUGGAGAUCAUUAGAGGC